rnacentral:lncRNA from 1 species
ACUUCUUUUGUUAAUUUAGAGAUGUAAAGUUGUAAACAAUCAUGUAUUUUUCGUGGAUGGCUAAAAUGUAAAGAAUUAUGUUGAAUUGAAAAAGAAUGUAAUAGUUGUAGUUUACUUUUAUUUGGUUCAAAUGAAAUCAAAUAUUAUGUAUGUUGGAUAUGGUAGUAUAGAGCUUUCGCUUCCGUUGUUGCUUGCCCUCGCGCAAGCCUUGUAUAAAUG